ensembl:snRNA U2 U2 spliceosomal RNA
AUAGAUUCUUGGCCUUUUGGCUAAGAUCAAGCGUGGUAUCUGCUCUUACCAGUUUAACAUCGGAUAUGUCCUCUAUCUGAGGACAAUGUAUUCCAUUGAUUUUUGGAGUAGGGGCUGUAUAGGAGCUUGCUUUGUGUACUCCAUACAUCAUUUUCCUGGUCCCUGGGUGUUUAACAG